AAUAGGGUGGCAUACUUGGAGUAGGGUUAAAGCACUCACGUGUUCUUGAUGUUCUUUCAUCUAACCUAAAUCGAACAUAAUGGAUGUAUCGGACGAUAAUUUGUGGAUCCUCGGAGGUUAACUACAACAAACGUUACGCCCUGAUGUUAAUAUACGAAACUAAGCAGAAAAGUGUUUGGAAGGAAUUGAAGUGAAUCAAAACUAUCCACUUCUCCUAGUACUUCUUGUUCAUACCAAUGAUAUUCAGAUGGAAAUAUGUGUUGCUGAAUCUAUUGCUUUUGAGAAUUAUAUUAAAAGGAAUUGGAGUGUAGAUGAGGAUCAACCUGAUCUGAUAUAUAAGAUAAUACAAAAGCAACUAAGUGAUGCUAUCAGUAUUAUUGAAAACACUGAUUUCCCAUUAACAUGGCCCAAAUUAAUUCCUCAGAUGAUUGAAACAUUUUCUACCGAUGUUAUUAAUGGAAUUUUAUGUACAGGGGGGCAUUCAUUGUUCAAGAAAUAUAGGUAUGAGUUUAAGUCCAAUGAGUUAUGGAUGGAGAUUAAAUAUGUUUUGGAGAAAUUAGCUCAACCACUUACAGAUUUAUUAUUGGCAAUUUUUUUUACCAAAAAAGUUGAGAUGCAUCAACUUUACAGUUUCAGUCUCAAUUCAUCUCAAGAUUUUAUUUCAAAAUUACUUGAUGAUGUCAAAUUUAUUUAUAAUGAAUACUUCAAAACCGUAAAACCAAUGCUACCUUUAACAGUCAAUGAGCAACAGAAAAUCAUAACCGCAAAAUUUUUAAUGUAUUGGGACGCUAAUAAUUUAUAUGGGUGGGAAAUGUCUCAAUUAAUUCCUGUUUCCAAUUUUAAAUGGUUCACUAAAAAUGAAAUAAAAAAUUUAGAUUUUAAUAAUGUAACCUAUAUUCAUUCUGAUUUUGGAUGUAUUUUAGCUGUACACUGUGUUAAUUAAUUAUUGUAUCCGACGUCAUCAUUGCAGGUAUGCAACCAAUAUCACAGUAUUAUCGUAUGUAAUACGUAAAUCGCGUGUUGCAAUACCAAUACUGUGAUAUUGGUUGCAUACUUGCAAUGAUGACGUAGGGUACGAUAAUUAAUCCACACACUGUAAAUAUUGAAUAUCCCAAAGUUUUACAUGAUUUACAUAAUGAUCCUGGCUGAAAACUUUUUUUUAUUUAAUAAGAAAAAUUACAUUCAUUAUAGAAAUUUAAAACAAACUGUAGCUCACGAUCUUAAAGUUUGCAAAAUUAAUAGAGUUUUAUCGUUUAGGCAGUCGACUUGGUUGAAAUCUUACAUUGACAAAAAUACGGAAUUACGUCAAUCAGCUAAAAACAUGUUUGAAAAAGACUUUUUUAAAUUAAUGAAUAUUCGGUUUUUGGUAAAGUUGAUAAGUUUAGUUGAUGAGAGAGUCGUUGUAAGAUUAGUUGGGAUGAUAACCAUACUAACGUCAUAACAGGUCGACCGCGUCUUCGUGCGCGGAAACGUUUUCGGCUAUUCAAAUGGAACGUCUUCACGUCGUUUACGAUAAACCUCUAUAUGUUGGUUUUACGGUUUUAGAGCUCGAAAUUAUUAAUGUACAAUUUUUUAAUGAUUUUUUAAAACCCAAGUAUGGUGAAGGUAUUUGGUUAUGCUACAUGGAUACGGAUAGCUUCACCGUAUUAAUUGUCACAAACUAGCUCUCGAGAACUUCUCGUUUCCCGUAGUGGGUUUUCCUAGCUAGGUCCACGGAGCGGCUCGCGUACCCAACUGUCCACGCACUACCCUUUUCUUGAUAGCUAGCAAUGACUAAGUUAGGGGUCGUUCACUGCAUUCGUUUACUUGAAAGCGAACGGCAGUAAUUUAGAAUUAAGAAUAAAAAUAGAUUGAAAGAAAACGAAAUUUCACUGUUAAAGAAUAAAUUUACUU